rnacentral:rRNA from 1 species
UAAGACGGGGGAUGCAAGCGUUAUUCGGAAUUAUUGGGCGUAAAGCGUCUGUAGGUGGCUAAAUAAGUCUGGUGUUAAAUACUGAAGCUCAACUUCAGACCUGUAUCAGAAACUAUUUAGCUUGAGUACGUUAGAGGCAGGGGGAAUUCCCAGUGUAGCGGUGAAAUGCGUAGAUAUUGGGAGGAACACCAACGGCGAAGGCACCCUGCUGGGCCGAUACUGACACUCAAGGACGAAAGCUAGGGGAGCGAAUGGGAUUAGAUACCCCAGUAGUCCUAGCUGUCAACGAUGGAGGCUAAACGUUGUCCAUUUGGCCAGCGUUGAAGUUAACGCGUUAAGCCUCCCGCCUGGGGAGUACGCUCGCAAGGGUG